UCCAAUUUUAUUGUUUGGUACCAGAAAAAAGGUGGAUUUGGAAUUAAAUUAUAAUUCUAAAAUUUUGAAUUCUAUGAUUUCAAUUCCAAAAUUUUAGAUAAAGAAUUCCAAAACCAACAUCUCAAUUCCACGGGUCAAAUUAAAAACACGCGGAUCCUAACCGGGUCAAAACAAAAAAACGGGCCAAACCAAUUUCAUUCUCCCUCUCUCUCCCUCGUCUCUCUCUGCGACAGGAACCCUAAUCUCCCCUUCUCUGGAGCUUCCUUCGUCUCACUACAAUCAAUCAGAGGUGAGAGCAGCAAUUACCAGCAAAGCUAAUAAUAAGGUAUGGUUCUACAUUAUUCAAGUAUUAUUGUCAUCCCUCCUCUAUUUCUAGAGGAUUUUUUGUAGUACUCUUGCCAAACCUUAUUUUGAAAUGGUUAAAGAGCAGUAGUUGCUGCUCUGUUAUUGUCAUCA